rnacentral:tRNA from 1 species
CGCGGUUCUUGACCGAGGAGAUCGUGUUGUCGAUCAGCACCGAGGUGCCGUAGUAAGUGGAGCCGCUGUAGUUCGUCUUGCUGUAGACCGUGU